rnacentral:rRNA from 1 species
UACGUAGGGUGCGAGCGUUGUCCGGAAUUAUUGGGCGUAAAGAGCUCGUAGGCGGUUUGUUGCGUCGGCCGUGAAAACCUGCAGCUUAACUCUGGGCCUGCAGUCGAUACGGGCAGACUUGAGUUCGGUAGGGGAGACUGGAAUUCCUGGUGUAGCGGUGAAAUGCGCAGAUAUCAGGAGGAACACCGAUGGCGAAGGCAGCUCGCUGGGACGAUACUGACGCUGAGGCGCGAAAGCGUGGGGAGCAAACAGG